rnacentral:rRNA from 1 species
GACGAACGCUGGCGCGGGGCUUAACACAUGCAAGUCGAACGGAAAGGCCCUGCUUUGUGGGGGGGCUGGAGUGGCAAACGGUUAAGUAACACGUAAUUAACCUGCCCUUGACUUUGGAAUAACUUCAGAAAACUGGGGCUAAUACCGGAUGGGGGCUCCUGCGGCAUGGUGGGGGUGGGAAAGUUUCGGCGGUUGGGGAUGGACUCGCGGCUUAUCAGCUUGUUGGUGGGGUAGUGGCUUACCAAGGCUUUGACGGGUAGCCGGCCUGAGAGGGUGACCGGCCACAUUGGGACUGAGAUACGGCCCAGACUCCUACGGGAGGCAGCAGUGGGGAAUAUUGCACAAUGGGCGGAAGCCUGAUGCAGCAACGCCGCGUGCGGGAUGACGGCCUUCGGGUUGUAAACCGCUUUCGCCUGUGACGAAGCGUGAGUGACGGUAAUGGGUAAAGAAGCACCGGCUAACUACGUG